CCUGAAGUCGCAGUCGUUUGCUUUCUGAGUGUCUGUCUUGUAGAAGGGCAAUCUCUUCCGUUUCAGGAUGUUGCUGCCAUUCAUCUCUUUUGUUCAUGA